GCUGUCUCCAUCUGUCACCAUCCUCCAACAUUAACCCAGAAGACCUCGUACUCUCACAUGCAACCCAAAAUAUUCACACAACACUCCAGGGCAUGUGUAUACUCUCCACAUCACACUUAUUAAAAUCCCACUCUUGAGGCUGUAAGGCGGUUUCCUCAUUAGCAGCCUGGCCUGUGGACCCAGGCCUGACGACAAGUGCUGUUAACACCAUGUCAACAGAUGUCUGAGGAACACUGUGGAGCCAGCCUGAGCCUCACAGAGGCAGCAGCCCUCCUUUCAGCGUGCAAAAGGAAAGCCCAGGAGGGGAGAGCCAGCCAGAUGCCCCGAAGGAAUCAUCAGGAGUUUCCUGAUAUCUAUUCACACUUUGGUGCUUAACUCAUUCACAGCUGGCCCAGGACAGCUUCAUCCAGACUUCCUUUGGGGAAUGCUUCCUGACCCAUGCUGACUCCCCUAGGCACUGCCUGCAUGCACUAGCUCACACAAACAAGAUGUUCUCUGGCAAAUGAUAUGAAUCCUUUGUCAAGGCUGUCCAGAUGGCCUUUGUGAAUAAAAUACUGCACACAGCAGUGACAUACUUGUUGGACAGAUAACUUGCAGAUUUGGAAACAGCCUGUUGGAGAGCUUCUUCAUUAAACUAAUAAUGUUUCUGGUGAUUUGGUUACAAGAAGCCAAAGGCCUGGUGACAAUUUCACAGAAAAGAAAGUUUUAGCUGCUAUGACAACCUGAACAACUGUGUUUCUCCUCAUGACAACCUGUCUGAAUUAUAUAAAGUCAUGAACCCACAAUGGAAAAUAGAUUGCAGAAAGGUCUGUAAGAAAUGUUAAACUAUACCUGGGAGAUGACAAAAAAAAACUUAAUAUAAUGAUUCUGUUACCCUUUUCAUGAAAUAAGAUUGAGAAGAUUGUAAGGAUGUUGAAAGCUGCUUUGGUUAUUGCUUUGAUGCUUCUUUUACAAACCUUUUUUUCCCCAGCAAAAUAGGUACAGCUCAAAACAGGAGUUCUUCAGUUGCCUUUAUUGGCAACAAAGUGGUCUCAACACAGUUAAAAAUAAAGCAGAAAAGACAGGAUGAAGAAAAAAGAUGAACAAGACAAAUUUUUAAGAAAAGCGAGGCUUGAAUAAAAGACAAACACAACAAAUUUCCAAUAAAUGUGAGG